GUUGUGAAGGGUCCCUUUCCCAGCGCCCCCCUGAGCGGAGCUGCUCUUCGGGAGGUUAGUCGGGGCUACCGAGCUAGCUGCAGAUUAAUGAUGGCCGCAUACCAGCAGGCAUAGAGGGCGCAGCUAAACUAAGACAAAAGUGAGCUGUGGAAAAUGGUGAUGCACCAAUCGGGUGAGGAGAUAUUUGGGGUGGGGGGGCAAGCGCAGACCUAGCGUGUGAGAGAAGGGGGUUUAGAGUGUUCAAGGGAGGGGGGAUUAGAGUGUGCUCUGCGGUUGACAGUGUUCCUGCACCUCUGCUCCGCUCCACGUCUGAUGGAUUUAACACACCCUCUAUCCACUGGUGACGUGCAAAAGAAAACACCUCAACAAUGAGGCUUGACAGCUACACAGCCUGCAACUGGACUCCACUCCAGGUCUCCCUGGGCUGUCCGCUGGGCCGGGUUCCUGUUGCCUCCUGGUUGUACAAUGGGUAUCUUACACUGGGCUCCAUGAUGACUGACCUCCUGUUCCCAUGGCCUUAAGUACAGGCCGCGGCACAAAAUGACCACCUCGAACCAACCACCCUGCACGGCGACAGCCCAUGAGACCUGUGAUUGGUGGGUUUGUGAGAGACAUGUGAUUGGGCCCCAGGAGAGGAACCCCACAUCCCGCUGGUACGCUCCUGAUUACCGUCGGUUCUGCCUGGCCCCCCGCCAGACUGACCCGCAGCUCUGAUCUACAGCGACAGGUGAACCAGAUCCUGGUGCUGGAAAAUGGCUGAGUAUCACGGCCUACUGUCUAACAGAGCUGUCACACAAAACACAUGCGCUAUGUGUGUGUGUGUGUGAGUGUGUGUGUGAGUGUGUGUGUGAAAGCUAAACGUGCACAAUACCAUGAAACACACAUUCAGACCUAUGCAUGACCAAUGAAUGCACAAAAACACACCGACACACAUCCGUUCACAAAAAGACCCAUGCUCUUGGGCCCACACACAAACACACAUUGUGUUCACACAGUUAGUCUAUAGGUUAUUCAUUAAAGUUUGCAUGUCUCUGCGUAAUCUGAUUUACAGCCACUCAGUUCAU
ensembl:lncRNA